rnacentral:rRNA from 1 species
GUGCCUCCCUCGGGAGCGCCCUUUGUUUUCCGACAACGUCGGUGCGACUUGGAGUUCGUUGCUCCCUGCGUUGUAAAACUCGCUCGGGCCAACCAACUUCCGGCUAAACCAAAGCAACAUAAAAACGGCGUGAAAUGCGCCAAGGAACAUGAAAGAGAGUGCGCUCUUCUGGUGUCAGCACUGCUGCGCCAGAACGGGCGUUGUCUUCUUGAUGAGUUUAUAAUGACUCUCGGCAACGGAUAUCUCGGCUCUUACAUCGAUGAAGAACGUAGCAAAAUGCGAUACUUGGUGUGAAUUGCAGAAUCCCGUGAACCAUCGAGUCUUUGAACGCAAGUUGCGCCCGAAUCCUUUUGGUCGAGGGCACGUCUGCCUGGGUGUCACGU